UAAAGACCAUUACCUCCAAAGCAAACACAUUUUACUAUGUGAUGACAACCUGCUUUUAGGAAAGUAUUCUUUGCUGUUUAAAAGCACUAAAGACAACCAAGCCAGUCAUGAACACCAAAUACUAAUACCAAACUUCUACUAUAUGUUUCAUCAUCUAUUCUGACAGAGAAAAUUUUGGGGUUCAAACUCCAUCUUAGGGAAACUGACCUAAGUUUGAACUAAACAGGCCAGUACCUAGCAUCUGUUUCCAAGUUAGCCUCCCUGCCCCCCACCCC
rnacentral:lncRNA from 1 species